GCACACCCGUGUUCAAAGCGAGCAGCUCACGCUGGCUGAGCUCGGGCGGCAGCCGAGGUGCAGGCCCGAGGGUGAACUGAGGAGAACGCUGGUGCUCAGACACAGGUGGUUGGCUCAGCCGUAAAGAAUGAAUCCCAGUCUUCCACGGGAGAAGCAGCGGAUCUGGAGACCUUCAUGGUGAGUGAAGUCAGUCAGCCGCAGAAAACGAAAUGGUCACACAAUUUCUCUUAUGUGGGAAAUCCAAACUGUGAAUGCAUUACAGAAGUAAAAUAUAGGAGAGAUGGUGCGACUCAGAGAGGCAGACGUUUUGGAGGUGGGGAAGGAGGACCGCAAGGGCAGAGAUCAGGAAAGAUCCCCAUUUGGUGUAUGCGCACCAGUUCCUCUCAAUGAUUGCGAGUUUCUCCAUUGCAAACACUUACCAAAAAUAAGCAAGGCCGUCCUGAGGCCCCUGCUGACGUUUCCCUGCUGAACUCUCUAAUAGACCUGGGACUGGCAAGGCCAGGCCAUUCCCACCCGCCUGCUGGGUGUGGAAUUCCAUUUCCCAACCCUUCCCCUGGCCUCUCCAGCCUGGGUCCCUCCUUGGCUGUGGAGCAAGGUAUCUCGGACCCCCCAGAUGUUGGCUUCCUUCAAGACCCUCUGGGGAGGCACCAGACCAGGGGCCCCAGGAACCCUGUGGACUUGAUUGCGGGAUACAGAGGCGCUCGAGACAGCACUCCCGGGGUCACGGGAUUACCAUGGGGUGCCAUACAAACACAGAACUGGCCGUGGGGCCUGCCGAAGUCAUCGGAUUCGUGCUGCUAGAACAUAAAUGUGACAGAGUCAGCAUCCUCCAUGGCCGCCUUUGCCCUUGCAGGGGGUGCCAUUGGGUGGCUUAUCCCAUUCAGUUUUCUAGGCCAUUUGUGAAAUCUGCUGUAGCUUUAAAAUGUUCAUUUUGUCUCUGCUUUUUUCUGGAGCAGACCCUAUAAAGCCAGAGCAGUGCACCCUGCCACGUCCUCCGGCCCCAUUCAGAUUCCCCACAGGCCUCCUCACUGCCAC
ensembl:lncRNA